rnacentral:rRNA from 1 species
AUUGAACGCUGGCGGCAGGCCUAACACAUGCAAGUCGAGCGAGCGGCGGACGGGUGAGUAAUGUCUGGGAAACUGCCUGAUGUAGGGGGGUAAAAACUGUAAACGGUAGCUAAUACCCCAUACCCUAAGCUGUGCACAGAUGGGAUUGGCUAUUAGGUGGGGUAACGGCUCACCGAGGCGACGAUCCCUAGCUGGUCUGAGAGGAUGACCAGACACACUGGAACUGAGACACGGUCCAGACUCCUACGGGAGGCAGCAGGGGGGAAUAUUGCACAAUGGGCGCAAGCCUGAUGCAGCCAUGCCGCGUGUGUGAAGAAGGCCUUCGGGUUGUAAAGCACUUUCAGCGGGGAGGCGUUACCCGCAGAAGAAGCACCGGCUAACUCCGUGCCAGCAGCCGCGGUAAUUC